GAUGAACGCUGGCGGCGUGCCUAAUACGUGCAAGUCGAGCGAACGGACGAGAAGCUUGCUUCUCUGAUGUUAGCGGCGGACGGGUGAGUAACACGUGGAUAACCUACCUAUAAGACUGGGAUAACUUCGGGAAACCGGAGUUAAUACCGGAUAAUAUUUUGAACCGCAUGGUUCAAAAGUGAAAGACGGUCUUGCUGUCACUUAUAGAUGGAUCCGCGCUGCAUUAGCUAGUUGGUAAGGUAACGGCUUACCAAGGCAACGAUGCAUAGCCGACCUGAGAGGGUGAUCGGCCACGCUGGAACUGAGACACGGUCCAGACUCCUACGGGAGGCAGCAGUAGGGAAUCUUCCGCAAUGGGCGAAAGCCUGACGGAGCAACGCCGCGUGAGUGAUGAAGGUCUUCGGAUCGNUAAACUCUGUUAUUAGGGAAGAACAUAUGUGUAAGUAACUGUGCACAUCUUGACGGUACCUAAUCAGAAUGCCACGGCUAACUACGUGCCAGCAGCCGCGGUAAUACGUAGGUGGCAAGCGUUAUCCGGAAUUAUUGGGCGUAAAGCGCGCGUAGCGGUUUUUUAAGUCUGAUGUGAAAGCCCACGGCUCAACCGUGGAGGGUCAUUGGAAACUGGAAAACUUGAGUGCAGAAGAGGAAAGUGGAAUUCCAUAUGUAGCGGUGAAAUGCGCAGAGAUAUGGAGGAACACCAGUGGCGAAGGCGACUUUCUGGUCUGUAACUGACGCUGAUGUGCGAAAGCGUGGGGAUCAAACAGGAUUAGAUACCCUGGUAGUCCACGCCGUAAACGAUGAGUGCUAAGUGUUAGGGGGUUUCCGCCCCUUAGUGCUGCAGCUAACGCAUUAAGCACUCCGCCUGGGGAGUACGACCGCAAGGUUGAAACUCAAAGGAAUUGACGGGGACCCGCACAAGCGGUGGAGCAUGUGGUUUAAUUCGAAGCAACGCGAAGAACCUUACCAAAUCUUGACAUCCUUUGACAACUCUAGAGAUAGAGCCUUCCCCUUCGGGGGACAAAGUGACAGGUGGUGCAUGGUUGUCGUCAGCUCGUGUCGUGAGAUGUUGGGUUAAGUCCCGCAACGAGCGCAACCCUUAAGCUUAGUUGCCAUCAUUAAGUUGGGCACUCUAAGUUGACUGCCGGUGACAAACCGGAGGAAGGUGGGGAUGACGUCAAAUCAUCAUGCCCCUUAUGAUUUGGGCUACACACGUGCUACAAUGGACAAUACAAAGGGCAGCGAAACCGCGAGGUCAAGCAAAUCCCAUAAAGUUGUUCUCAGUUCGGAUUGUAGUCUGCAACUCGACUACAUGAAGCUGGAAUCGCUAGUAAUCGUAGAUCAGCAUGCUACGGUGAAUACGUUCCCGGGUCU
rnacentral:rRNA from 1 species